CCUACGGGCGGCUGCAGUGGGGAAUAUUGCACAAUGGGCGCAAGCCUGAUGCAGCCAUGCCGCGUGUGUGAAGAAGGCCUUCGGGUUGUAAAGCACUUUCAGCGGGGAGGAAGGCGGUGAGGUUAAUAACCUCAUCGAUUGACGUUACCCGCAGAAGAAGCACCGGCUACUCCGUGCCAGCAGCCGCGGUAAUACGGAGGGUGCAAGCGUUAAUCGGAAUUACUGGGCGUAAAGCGCACGCAGGCGGUCUGUCAAGUCGGAUGUGAAAUCCCCGGGCUCAACCUGGGAACUGCAUUCGAAACUGGCAGGCUAGAGUCUUGUAGAGGGGGGUAGAAUUCCAGGUGUAGCGGUGAAAUGCGUAGAGAUCUGGAGGAAUACCGGUGGCGAAGGCGGCCCCCUGGACAAAGACUGACGCUUAGGUGCGAAAGCGUGGGGAGCAAACAGGAUUAGAUACCCGAGUAGUC
rnacentral:rRNA from 1 species